AACUUCUCUGUGUGAAAUGGCACAGGACAGAAGAUGGUGUCUGCACUAGUGUCUGCUAAGUGGUCGAGGACCAGCUCCAUACUCUUAUGUCCACAGUUCAGUGGAGUCUAACUACUGUUGGUCUUUUGGCAAGGGAUCAGAUGUAGGGGAAAGUGGGAAACAAGGGGUGGAUCUACUUCCCCCCUGGCACAAAUCACCCCAACUGCUGCGGAUCAUUCAGU